rnacentral:rRNA from 1 species
AAAAUGGUUUUCUUUACCCCGUCUUGGAACACGGACCAAGGAGUCUAACAUCUAUGCGAGUGUUCGGGUGUCAAACCCCUGCGCGUAAUGAAAGUGAACGGAGGUGAGAACCGCAAGGUGCAUCAUCGACCGAUCCUGAUGUCUUCGGAUGGAUUUGAGUAAGAGCAUAGCUGUUGGGACCCGAAAGAUGGUGAACUAUGCCUGAAUAGGGCGAAGCCAGAGGAAACUCUGGUGGAGGCUCGCAGCGGUUCUGACGUGCAAAUCGAUCGUCAAAUUUGGGUAUAGGGGCGAAAGACUAAUCGAACCAUCU